GGCUUCCUUCUGACCGUGACCGUGUGCUUCCACGUCCGACGGGCUCCGAGGUAGUUGAGAGCCGGUUUGCUCCCUUCCCCCGCCCUCUAUCACCUUUAAUGCUUAGUUCCUUCGUUUGCAAAGUCCUGACACCGUGGGCGUCACGGAGUGCCAAAGUAAAAAGCCGCCUUUGCGACUCCCCAGAUCCUCUGGAGGCUGGAGGAACCGGCCAGACGGUCAGACCCAUCAGCCCACAAGACUUCCGCAGGGGGCGAGGGCACUGGACCUGCUUUGACUUGGCCUUCCUCGACCCGUGCUGACGUCACGGCCCGAGAACCCCCUUGGGUCUGCGGAGGAGGUAACAAGUUCGAAUUUUGUAUCUCUUCCUAGUUAUUCCCAUCUGUUACUGAUGUUUAAAUCCUUGGACCGUGUCACCCUCCAGCUCGGACUUUUCCUUUGCCUUUGAGGCUAACAUUCUGUUACUCUCAUUUUUGCUUUCUACUUUUCUCCUUCAGAGUAAAGAAAAUUCGUUUAAAUG
ensembl:antisense Dmrta2os doublesex and mab-3 related transcription factor like family A2, opposite strand